GCAGAACGACCAGAGAG
rnacentral:rRNA from 1 species